UUGGCCUACGGGGGGCAGCAGUGGGGAAUAUUGGACAAUGGGGGAAACCCUGAUCCAGCGACGCCGCGUGAGUGAAGAAGUAUUUCGGUACGUAAAGCUCUAUCAGCAGGAAAGAAAAUGACGGUACCUGACUAAGAAGCCCCGGCUAACUACGUGCCAGCAGCCGCGGUAAUACGUAGGGGGCAAGCGUUAUCCGGAUUCACUGAGUGUAAAGGGAGCGUAGACGGCGAGACAAGUCUGGAGUGAAAGGCCGGGGCCCAACCCCGGGACUGCUCUGGAAACUGCCUGGCUGGAGUACAGGAGAG
rnacentral:rRNA from 1 species